GACGAACGCUGGCGGCGUGCUUAACACAUGCAAGUCGAACGGAAAGGCCCUGCUUUUGUGGGGUGCUCGAGUGGCGAACGGGUGAGUAACACGUGAGUAACCUGCCCUUGACUUUGGGAUAACUUCAGUAAACUGGGGCUAAUACCGGAUAUGAGCUCCUGCUGCAUGGUGGGGGUUGGAAAGUUUCGGCGGUUGGGGAUGGACUCGCGGCUUAUCAGCUUGUUGGUGGGGUAGUGGCUUACCAAGGCUUUGACGGGUAGCCGGCCUGAGAGGGUGACCGGCCACAUUGGGACUGAGAUACGGCCCAGACUCCUACGGGAGGCAGCAGUGGGGAAUAUUGCACAAUGGGCGGAAGCCUGAUGCAGCAACGCCGCGUGCGGGAUGAAGGCCUUCGGGUUGUAAACCGCUUUCGCCUGUGACGAAGCGUGAGUGACGGUAAUGGGUAAAGAAGCACCGGCUAACUACGUG
rnacentral:rRNA from 1 species